GAUGAACGCUAGCUACAGGCUUAACACAUGCAAGUCGAGGGGCAGCAUUUCAGUUUGCUUGCAAACUGGAGAUGGCGACCGGCGCACGGGUGAGUAACACGUAUCCAACCUGCCGAUAACUCGGGGAUAGCCUUUCGAAAGAAAGAUUAAUACCCGAUGGUAUAAUCAGACCGCAUGGUCUUGUUAUUAAAGAAUUUCGGUUAUCGAUGGGGAUGCGUUCCAUUAGGCAGUUGGUGAGGUAACGGCUCACCAAACCUUCGAUGGAUAGGGGUUCUGAGAGGAAGGUCCCCCACAUUGGAACUGAGACACGGUCCAAACUCCUACGGGAGGCAGCAGUGAGGAAUAUUGGUCAAUGGGCGCAGGCCUGAACCAGCCAAGUAGCGUGAAGGAUGACUGCCCUAUGGGUUGUAAACUUCUUUUAUAUGGGAAUAAAGUUUUCCACGUGUGGAAUUUUGUAUGUACCAUAUGAAUAAGGAUCGGCUAACUCCGUGCCAGCAGCCGCGGUAAUACGGAGGAUCCGAGCGUUAUCCGGAUUUAUUGGGUUUAAAGGGAGCGUAGGUGGACAGUUAAGUCAGUUGUGAAAGUUUGCGGCUCAACCGUAAAAUUGCAGUUGAUACUGGCUGUCUUGAGUACAGUAGAGGUGGGCGGAAUUCGUGGUGUAGCGGUGAAAUGCUUAGAUAUCACGAAGAACUCCGAUUGCGAAGGCAGCUCACUGGACUGCAACUGACACUGAUGCUCGAAAGUGUGGGUAUCAAACAGGAUUAGAUACCCUGGUAGUCCACACAGUAAACGAUGAAUACUCGCUGUUUGCGAUAUACAGUAAGCGGCCAAGCGAAAGCAUUAAGUAUUCCACCUGGGGAGUACGCCGGCAACGGUGAAACUCAAAGGAAUUGACGGGGGCCCGCACAAGCGGAGGAACAUGUGGUUUAAUUCGAUGAUACGCGAGGAACCUUACCCGGGCUUAAAUUGCAUUUGAAUAUAUUGGAAACAGUAUAGCCGUAAGGCAAAUGUGAAGGUGCUGCAUGGUUGUCGUCAGCUCGUGCCGUGAGGUGUCGGCUUAAGUGCCAUAACGAGCGCAACCCUUAUCUUUAGUUACUAACAGGUCAUGCUGAGGACUCUAGAGAGACUGCCGUCGUAAGAUGUGAGGAAGGUGGGGAUGACGUCAAAUCAGCACGGCCCUUACGUCCGGGGCUACACGCGUGUUACAAUGGGGGGUACAGAAGGCAGCUACCUGGUGACAGGAUGCUAAUCCCAAAAGCCUCUCUCAGUUCGGAUCGAAGUCUGCAACCCGACUUCGUGAAGCUGGAUUCGCUAGUAAUCGCGCAUCAGCCAUGGCGCGGUGAAUACGUUCCCGGGCCU
rnacentral:rRNA from 1 species